AGCUCCAAUAGCGUAUAUUAAAGUUGUUGCGGUUAAAAAGCUCGUAGUUGGAUUUCUGUUGAGGUCGGGCGGUGUGCACCUCGUGCAUUAUUUGCUUCGGUCUCGGCAUCCUCCUGGGGAACGUUUAGGACUUUAUUGGACUAGGCGAGAUUCAGGACUUUUACUUUGAGGAAAUUAGAGUGUUCACGGCAAGCAAGCGCGGGAAUACAUUAGCAUGGAAUAAUAAUAUAGGACCUUCGUUCUAGUUUGUUGGUUUCUAGAACUUAGGUAAUGAUUAAUAGGGACAAUUGGGGGCAUUCGUAUUAACGCGUCAGAGGUGGAAUUCUUGGAUUGCGUUACGACGAACUACUGCGAAAGCAUUUGCCAAAGAUGUUU
rnacentral:rRNA from 1 species